rnacentral:rRNA from 1 species
UGGGGAAUAUUGCACAAUGGGGGAAACCCUGAUGCAGCGACGCCGCGUGAACGAAGAAGGUAUUCGUAUCGUAAAGUUCUGUCCUAUGGGAAGAUAAUGACAGUACCAUAGAAGAAAGCUCCGGCUAAAUACGUGCCAGCAGCCGCGGUAAUACGUAUGGAGCGAGCGUUGUCCGGAAUUAUUGGGCGUAAAGGGUACGCAGGCGGUUUAAUAAGUCGAAUGUUAAAGAUCGGGGCUCAACCCCGCAAAGCAUUGGAAACUGAUAAACUUGAGUAGUGGAGAGGAAAGUGGAAUUCCUAGUGUAGUGGUGAAAUACGUAGAUAUUAGGAGGAAUACCAGUAGCGAAGGCGACUUUCUGGACACAAACUGACGCUGAGGUACGAAAGCGUGGGGAGCAAAGAGG